GCUGGGCGUGGUGGCACGUGCCUGUAACCCCAGUGGCUCAGGAGGCUGAGGCAGGAGGAUUGUGAGUUCAAAGCUAGCCUCAGCAAAAGGGAGGCCCUAAGCAACUCAGUGAGACCCUGUCUCUA
rnacentral:sRNA from 1 species